GAUGAACGCUGGCGGCGUGCCUAAUACAUGCAAGUCGAGCGAACAGGCGCGGAUCUUGCGCCUCUGACGUUAGGGGCAGGGGGGUGAGUAACACGUGGAUACCCUCCCUAUCUGACUGGGAUAACUUCGGGAAUCGGGAUCUAAUCCCGGAGAAGAUAUUGAACCGCGGGGGUGGUUAGUGAGAUACGGUGUUGCGGGCUCUUAUAGCUGGAUCCGCGCCUCAUUGGCGAGUAGUGAGGGUAACGGGUUACGACGGGAAGGAUGGGUAGACGACCGCUGAGGGGGAUCGGCCACACCAGAACUGAGACACGGUCAAUAAUCCUACGGGAGGCAGCAGUAGCGAAUCUUCCGCAAUGGGCGAAAGCAUGACGCAGCAACGCCGCGUGAGUGAUGAAGGUCUUCGGAUCGUAAAACUCUGUUAUUAGGGAAGAACAAAUGUGUAAGUAACUAUGCACGUCUUGACGGUACCUAAUCAGAAAGCCACGGCUAACUACGUG
rnacentral:rRNA from 1 species